UACACAUGCAAGUCGAGGGGCAGCAUGGUCUUAGCUUGCUAAGGCCGAUGGCGACCGGCGCACGGGUGAGUAACACGUAUCCAACCUGCCGUCUACUCUUGGACAGCCUUCUGAAAGGAAGAUUAAUACAAGAUGGCAUCAUGAGUCCGCAUGUUCACAUGAUUAAAGGUAUUCCGGUAGACGAUGGGGAUGCGUUCCAUUAGAUAGUAGGCGGGGUAACGGCCCACCUAGUCUUCGAUGGAUAGGGGUUCUGAGAGGAAGGUCCCCCACAUUGGAACUGAGACACGGUCCAAACUCCUACGGGAGGCAGCAGUGAGGAAUAUUGGUCAAUGGGCGAGAGCCUGAACCAGCCAAGUAGCGUGAAGGAUGACUGCCCUAUGGGUUGUAAACUUCUUUUAUAAAGGAAUAAAGUCGGGUAUGCAUACCCGUUUGCAUGUACUUUAUGAAUAAGGAUCGGCUAACUCCGUGCCAGCAGCCGCGGUAAUACGGAGGAUCCGAGCGUUAUCCGGAUUUAUUGGGUUUAAAGGGAGCGUAGAUGGAUGUUUAAGUCAGUUGUGAAAGUUUGCGGCUCAACCGUAAAAUUGCAGUUGAUACUGGAUAUCUUGAGUGCAGUUGAGGCAGGCGGAAUUCGUGGUGUAGCAGUGAAAUGCUUAGAUAUCACGAAGAACUCCGAUUGCGAAGGCAGCCUGCUAAGCUGCAACUGACAUUGAGGCUCGAAAGUGUGGGUAUCAAACAGGAUUAGAUACCCUGGUAGUCCACACGGUAAACGAUGAAUACUCGCUGUUUGCGAUAUACUGCAAGCGG
rnacentral:rRNA from 1 species